GAUGAACGCUGGCGGCGUGCCUAAUACAUGCAAGUCGAGCGAACAGACGAGGAGCUUGCUCCUCUGACGUUAGCGGCGGACGGGUGAGUCACACGUGGAUAACCUACCUAUAAGACUGGGAUAACUUCGGGAAACCGGAGCUAAUACCGGAUAAUAUAUUGAACCGCAUGGUUCAAUAGUGAAAGACGGUUUUGCUGUCACUUAUAGAUGGAUCCGCGCCGGAUUAGCUAGUUGGUAAGGUAACGGCUUACCAAGGCAACGAUGCGUAGCCGACCUGAGAGGGUGAUCGGCCACACUGGAACUGAGACACGGUCCAGACUCCUACGGGAGGCAGCAGUAGGGAAUCUUCGGCAAUGGGCGAAAGCCUGACGGAGCAACGCCGCGUGAGUGAUGAAGGUCUUCGGAUCGUAAAGCUCUGUUAUUAGGGAAGAACAGAUGUGUAAGUAACUAUGCACGUCUUGACGGUACCUAAUCAGAAAGCCACGGCUAACUACGUG
rnacentral:rRNA from 1 species